rnacentral:rRNA from 1 species
UACGGGGGGGGCAAGCGUUGUUCGGAAUUACUGGGCGUAAAGGGCUCGUAGGCGGCCAACUAAGUCAGACGUGAAAUCCCUCGGCUUAACCGGGGAACUGCGUCUGAUACUGGAUGGCUUGAGUUUGGGAGAGGGAUGCGGAAUUCCAGGUGUAGCGGUGAAAUGCGUAGAUAUCUGGAGGAACCCCGGUGGCGAAGGCGGCAUCCUGGACCAACACUGACGCUGAGUGAGCGAAAGCCAGGGGAGCAAACGGG